AAACGUUAGCAGGACCCAAAUAGGAGUCACUGCCAGGGUGUUUAGUGAAGGGUUCACUGAGCCUUUGACAUUUGAACUGAGUCUAGAAGAAAGUCAUUAACUCAGCAGAGAAAGGGGGGAAAAAGCAGAAGAAAAAGUAUACAGUGGUUGAGAAGCACCAAACAACAUGCUGUUUGGAGGAGAAUUUAGAGUAUUCUUGCUGUGGCUGCAUGAGGAUCAUUUAAGAGAAGGAUCAAAAUGGGAAGUACCUGUGGGCCACGGGUGGAAAACUCAACAGGCUGCAGAGGCCAGGCAGGUAACCUGAGGCCAGGCAGAUGAUUUCAGCCAUUCUGAAAAGCAUAAGGAAAAGAAAAACCACCAGUGAUCUCAUAAUACAGACAUUUUGGAAUAUUUGAAAAGAUCACACCACUGCACUUCAACCUGGGACAAAGAGCAAGACUCUGACUAUAAAAACAAAAACCAAAAAAAGGUGUGCACUAUGCACAUAUGUACAUUUUUAGAAAAUUGUUUCUUACCCUAUGUAGAAUGUUAUAGCCUGCUUUUAACAUUUAAUCUGCACCAUGAGCACCGUUCUGCAUAAUAAGAUAAUCUUUGGAUAUAUCAUUUUAAUGACUAUAUAGUGUUUUAUCCUAUGAAUGAACCACCUUUUUUUAACCUAUUGAUUAACAUUGCAAUUGACUUAUGUUUUGCUCUCAGAUAUAAUGCUAUAAUGAACAUUUUGCAUAUAAUAUUAGACAAUUUUGAUUAUUUCCUCGGUACAAAUUCCUGGAAAUAAAAAAUACAGUGUCAAAUUUAAGAAAAAACAUGCCAGGCACGGUGGCUCACACCUGUGAUCCCAGCACUUUGGGAGGCUGAGACGGGUGGAUCACUUAAGGCCAGGAGUUCGAGACCAGCCUGGUCAACACAGUAAAUAAAACCCCAUCUCUACUAAAAAUACAAAAAUUAGCUAGGCGUGGUGGCACACACCUGUAAUCUCAGCUACUGCGAAGUCUGAGGCACGAGAAUUGCUUGAACCCAGCCAGCAAUGGUUGCAGUGAGCCAAGAUGGCACCACUGCACUUAAGCCUGGGUGACAGAGUGAGACUCUGUCUCAAAAAAAAAAAAAAGUUUAAGAAAGAACAAUUAUAAGGUCUCUUGAUACAUGCUAACAAACUAAUUUCCAAAUAUAUGUCCCAAUUCAUGUUCCCAUUGGCAUUGAGAACUUCAUUACAAUUUUUUUUUACUAAAUAUAUAAGCAAAG
rnacentral:lncRNA from 10 species